UUUAAUCAGACUGCUACCAACCCUGAACAACAGGGUGUCAGGUUGUAUUCUGUUAGUGGGUUUUGUUGUUUUCUUGGUCUACUGCAUUUGAAUUUGAGUUUUCCUAGAAAGAACUGUUAUUCCUAUUCCCAUGUCUUUGCCUGAGAGCCCCUUGAUUUCAAGAUUAUAAUAAUUCAAAGGGGUGGGGUGCUUUACAUUUUUCUAUUUCAAGGGAGGUUUCUACCUUCUUUAGCAGACACCUGCCUUCUCAAACCAAGACAGCUCUCCAGGAUAUCUACCAGCCUACCUCAGCAUGCUCCAGCCUACAGGUGACAUUAAAAAAUCUAAAACCAAUUGUCACAUCAGCCUCAGAUGGGAGGGGAGUAACAAAAUGUGCUAAAAUGCUCAAUAAUCAUGGAUUGUGAAGAGAGGACACAAUUUCCCCUUAAACUCGCAGCUUUUCCCAGGUUAAGCCAGCAGUUCUCAAGGGUUUGUAUUCUCUGGAGUGGUUAUGAGUCCCAGUUGGAGAGGAGGAGCUUGCAGGGAGAACUGAAUCAGAAAUAACAGAAGUCGGGGCACAAGCAGAGAUAUUUUCCCCAGGGCUUGGGUUUCUUCAGAGCAUAAACAAAUUCACUGAGGAACAUAAACAAAUUCACUGAGGAGCACAAAGUAAACCAUCAAACAUCAGCCACUGCUUGCGGUGAGAACAAGAACAAUGCUCAGCUCUCCAUUAUGACAGUCACAGCUGGCACUCAAGGGCCACUGCCACACAUCAGCCCCUGCACUGAGGCUUUCUGAAAUAUGUCCGUGCUUCAGACAAUCAGCUGGAAACAUCUCAAGCCACAAGAAAAUGGAUUAAAGAUUCAAGUUCCCCUACAUGUUACGUCUGUGUUAAGACAAGCUAACAGCUUGAUCCACCCCAGUCAAAGCCAGAGCUCUGGAUCCAGCUGCUGGUGAUGCUGUGUGGGCUAUGAAGGGUCUUCAGAAGAGCAGACACCAUCUGCAACAGCUCUGUUUUUCCAACCCAAACAACUCCUGCUGUUUUUUUGGGGCUGAGUAGCUUUUCUGCAGCUGUUUCCUUCAGCAAAAUGCUGAAGAACCUUAAAAUGUCACCACAGAACCACCACUGUUCCGAGUGCAGCACCUUUUUGUGUCUCCAGAAAACCAGGUCUGGAUAUGCUCGGGGAAUAAAAAAUACACCUCAGACUUGUGGAACAAUACAGCCUGUGCACACAAGUGUGAAUGACAA